UACAGAGGGUGCAAGCGUUGUUCGGAAUUAUUGGGCGUAAAGGGCGCGUAGGCGGUGCGGUAAGUCUGUAGUGAAAUCCCCGGGCUCAACCCGGGAACUGCGUCCGAUACUGGAAGGCUUGGAUCCGGGAGAGGGAUGUGGAAUUCCAGGUGUAGCGGUGAAAUGCGUAGAUAUCUGGAGGAACACCGGUGGCGAAGGCGACAUCCUGGACCGGUAUUGACGCUGAGGCGCGAAAGCCAGGGGAGCAAACGGG
rnacentral:rRNA from 1 species